rnacentral:lncRNA from 1 species
AUGCAUUGGCUAUUUGUAGUAAGGCUACUUAGUUUGAUUGCACGUUUCGUUGGUCCCUAGCCAUUUGAGUCCUUGCUAUGUAUGUUGGCUAUUGUAGGUUCAGAUUCGUUGUUUGGAGUAGGAUGCACCUAGAUGGCAUUUAUUGAUCUUGAUAAAAAAUGUGUAGUCCUAUACGAUUCAUAAGACUGAGUUCAAAAAGUCUCUAGCUAAAGUAAAUAUGAAUACUAAAAAAAAAUUUCUACUGGAUUCACAAAUAAACUCGAGUCGAGCCAAUCUAGCAUAUGACUGACGAUGGAGUUUGAUAAGUUCUCAAUGAUC